rnacentral:rRNA from 1 species
GACGGACGCUGGCGGCGUGCUUAACACAUGCAAGUCGAACGGAAAGGCCCUGCUUUUGUGGGGUGCUCGAGUGGCGAACGGGUGAGUAACACGUGAGUAACCUGCCCUUGACUUUGGGAUAACUUCAGGAAACUGGGGCUAAUACCGGAUAGGAGCUCCUGCUGCAUGGUGGGGGUUGGAAAGUUUCGGCGGUUGGGGAUGGACUCGCGGCUUAUCAGCUUGUUGGUGGGGUAGUGGCUUACCAAGGCUUUGACGGGUAGCCGGCCUGAGAGGGUGACCGGCCACAUUGGGACUGAGAUACGGCCCAGACUCCUACGGGAGGCAGCAGGGGGGAAUAUUGCACAAUGGGCGGAAGCCUGAUGCAGCAACGCCGCGUGCGGGAUGACGGCCUUCGGGUUGUAAACCGCUUUCGCCUGUGACGAAGCGUGAGUGACGGUAAUGGGUAAAGAAGCACCGGCUAACUACGUG